rnacentral:rRNA from 1 species
AUUGAACGCUGGCGGCAUGCCUUACACAUGCAAGUCGAACGGCAGCACGGGGCAACCUGGUGGCGAGUGGCGAACGGGUGAGUAAUGCAUCGGAACGUACCUUUCAGUGGGGGAUAACGUAGCGAAAGUUACGCUAAUACCGCAUAUUCUGUGAGCAGGAAAGCAGGGGAUCGCAAGACCUUGCGCUGAUUGAGCGGCCGAUGUCAGAUUAGCUAGUUGGUGAGGUAAAGGCUCACCAAGGCGACGAUCUGUAGCGGGUCUGAGAGGAUGAUCCGCCACACUGGAACUGGGACACGGUCCAGACUCCUACGGGAGGCAGCAGUGGGGAAUUUUGGACAAUGGGGGCAACCCUGAUCCAGCCAUGCCGCGUGAGUGAAGAAGGCCUUCGGGUUGUAAAGCUCUUUCGGCCGGGAAGAAAUCGCACGGGCUAAUACCCUGUGUGGAUGACGGUACCGGAGUAAGAAGCACCGGCUAACUACGUGCCAGCCGCCGCCGUAAUAC